rnacentral:rRNA from 1 species
AGGACGAACGCUGGCGGCGUGCCUAACACAUGCAAGGUCGAACGGGACGAGGGGAGCUUGCUCCCCGAGUUAGUGGCGAACGGGUGAGUAACGCGUGAGCAACCUGCCUUUCAGAGGGGGACAACGGUUGGAAACGACCGCUAAUACCGCAUGAAGCAAUCGGACCGCAUGAUCUGAUUGCCAAAGAUUUUUAUCGCUGAAAGAUGGGCUCGCGUCUGAUUAGAUAGUUGGUGGGGUAACGGCUCACCAAGUCGACGAUCAGUAGCCGGACUGAGAGGUUGAACGGCCACAUUGGGACUGAGAUACGGCCCAGACUCCUACGGGAGGCAGCAGUGGGGAAUAUUGGGCAAAUGGGGGAAACCCUGACCCAGCAACGCCGCGUGAAGGAAGAAGGCUUUCGGGUUGUAAACUUCUUUUACCAGGGACGAAGGACGUGACGGUACCUGGAGAAAAAGCCACGGCUAACUACGUGCCAGCAGCUGC